rnacentral:rRNA from 1 species
UCGGGAAUCUUGGACAAUGGGCGCAAGCCUGAUCCAGCCAUGCCGCGUGAGUGACGAAGGUCUUCGGAUUGUAAAGCUCUUUUGGCGGGGACGAUAAUGACGGUACCCGCAGAAUAAGCCCCGGCUAACUUCGUGCCAGCAGCCGCGGUAAUACGAAGGGGGCUAGCGUUGUUCGGAAUUACUGGGCGUAAAGCGCACGUAGGCGGAUUUGUAAGUCAGGGGUGAAAUCCCGGGGCUCAACCUCGGAACUGCCUUUGAUACUGCAAGUCUCGAGUCCGGAAGAGGUGAGUGGAAUUCCUAGUGUAGAGGUGAAAUUCGUAGAUAUUAGGAAGAACACCAGUGGCGAAGGCGGCUCACUGGUCCGGUACUGACGCUGAGGUGCGAAAGCGUGGGGAGCAAACAGGAUUAGAUACCCCAGUAGUCCCUGAGCGGGCUGGCAAGGCGCAU